GAUGAACGCUGGCGGCGUGCCUAAUACAUGCAAGUCGAGCGAACGGACGAGAAGCUUGCUUUUCUGAUGUUAGCGGCGGACGGGUGAGUAACACGUGGAUAACCUACCUAUAAGACUGGGAUAACUUCGGGAAACCGGAGCUAAUACCGGAUAAUAUUUUGAACCGCAUGGUUCAAAAGUGAAAGACGGUCUUGCUGUCACUUAUAGAUGGAUCCGCGCUGCAUUAGCUAGUUGGUAAGGUAACGGCUUACCAAGGCAACGAUGCAUAGCCGACCUGAGAGGGGGAUCGGCCACCCUGAACCUGAGACACGGUCCAGACUCCUACGGGAGGCAGCAGUAGGGAAUCUUCCGCAAUGGGCGAAAGCCUGACGGAGCAACGCCGCGUGAGUGAUGAAGGUCUUCGGAUCGUAAAACUCUGUUAUUAGGGAAGAACAUAUGUGUAAGUAACUGUGCACAUCUUGACGGUACCUAAUCAGAAAGCCACGGCCAACUACGU
rnacentral:rRNA from 1 species